rnacentral:rRNA from 1 species
UACGUAGGGGGGCAAGCGUUGUCCGGAAUUAUUGGGCGUAAAGCGCGCGCAGGCGGUCCUUUAAGUCUGAUGUGAAAGCCCACGGCUCAACCGUGGAGGGUCAUUGGAAACUGGGGGACUUGAGUGCAGAAGAGGAAAGCGGAAUUCCACGUGUAGCGGUGAAAUGCGUAGAGAUGUGGAGGAACACCAGUGGCGAAGGCGGCUUUCUGGUCUGCAACUGACGCUGAGGCGCGAAAGCGUGGGGAGCAAACAGG